UCUUCAAAGAUGUAUUUAGUUUUUUUAAAAAAGCUUUAAUAUAUGAGGAUAUCUCCAGUUGAUCAGCAGGAUUGGGAGAAUAGCCAAAUCAAGCAUAUUUAAAUGAAUCAGACUGCUUACAUAUUGUUUAUGGGCCAUUGAGUCCAUCAUUGGUUGUUUUUCUUUUGCCGAUUGUUUGGCGCGCACUCACUUAUAUAUUAAUUCAUUCAUUCAGUCUGCUCGCUCAACUUUCUCUCUCUCCCUCUCUCUUGCGCUGAUGCGUCGAGACACACCGACACUGACUCAGCUGUCGUCUCUGACCCACUACAGUUUAAAUGUUGAUUUGUUUGUAACCACCGUCACAAUAUCAAUACUGAUCACCACAUAAUGAUCAAUACUUUUCCUAAAAUAGUCAAAUCUUUCGUGCAUUCAUUCUUUUAUUCACCCUCUCCUGACUCUGCUCGCUUUCUUCCUCUCUCACUCACUCACUCACACACACACUCAGACACACUCACAUCGGAAACAUGUGUAAACUCAGACAAAGUAAAAACAACAUAAUUUGGUCUUCACCAACACAAAUGAUGUUUGUGUUUAUUCGCACACAGAGAGGUGAAGUGAGAUCUGAUCUCAAGUGUUCACAGCUCUUCCAUAAUUGCACUCGCUGAUGCUGACGUGCGCCGCACACAAAUAUAUUCUCAAUCAGUGGUUGCGGGGCAGUCGGUUGCCGAUUCGAAAAUGUUUGCAUAUUGCCCAAUCCUAAUGAAUACAGAACUACUUCCAGACCCCGGUUUAUUUGACCUAUUGACGUUUUGCAUCUGACGUCACAAUGUCUGUCCAGCCAUGGUCCCACUCUUCCGGACUGCAAAAGGGACAUGUUACUUAAUGGAUGCCAGUGCAAAACUAAUACUCUCAUUCACAAAUUCCCCCCAGCCAUUUCUGUAAUCUAGGCCUAUAUUCAACCAUGGUUAUCUCCUCUUCAAUGAAUCAAUCAAUCAAAUUUGUUGUUGUGCAGUGGGGUGUACUAACAGGCAAGGCAUGGAUAAUAUAGCCCUCUAUCAUAUGCCAAAAGUCAUGAAAAGAAGGCAGAAGUGGAUCACAGCCAUACAUUGGAAGAAUUGGCAACCAUCAAAAUACACAAGACUGUGUAGUGCACAUUUUGUACGAGGUCAUAAAAGUGAUGAUCCAUUGUCACACCAACCAUCUUUGUCUUCACCAAAUCCCCACAGAAGAGGAAAGCAGAACGGAACAUGGAAAAUUACCAUAAGAGGGUGGCCCUGAAAAAGAGGGAGUCGAGGCUGCAAGCAAACAGAAAAGAAAAAGCAAGAGCACAAACCUACUCACAGUAUAAAUUGCAUAACAAUAUGAAAUAUCUGAUAGGAAUUACACCACAAGGGGUGAUAUCUUUCAUAUUUAAGGGCUGGGGUGGCCGAACAACUAAUCCUCACAUAACGGCAAACUGUGGCUUCUUAGACAAACUACUACCAGGAGACUUGGAGUCCUGGCAGACCGAGGUUUUACCAUUUAGUAUCUGUCUCUAUUGUGCAAAAGUGGAAACACCAACUUUUACUCUGGGCAAAAACAGUUGGGUGCUAUUGAACUUGAGGACACAAGAAAACUAGCAGUAGUGCACAUUCAGAUGGAGAGUUAUUGGAAAGGCUCGUAUUAAAUACAAAACGUUACGAGGACCUGUGCCAAUCGCAUUGCUUAAAAGUGAUGAGUCAACAAACUAUACCACUCCUGAUAAAAUUGUUAAAGUGGAAUGUUUGUCGACUAAAUUGUGCCCAUCAGUGGUACCAAUUGAUUAACUGAGCAUGAAUUAAAACCUGUACAACCUGUAACUUGUAAAAUGUAAUCUUUAUGUAUAGUGUAAAUACAAUCAUAUUAUUCUCAGGGAUUUGUUUUAUUCCAUUUCUUUUUUUUUUACAUUGUAAGUUUUAUGGUAAGUUGGAUGGCUGGUGUUAAAGUUGAUCCAGGACUGUAAAGGUGUGUCAUAUUUAUUAAAAUCACUUCAAAUAUA